AUGUAUAUAUAUUUUUAUAAAAAUAAUAAAACUUAAGACUAAUAAACAAAAAAAAAAAAGAAAAAGAAAAAGAAAAAAAAAAAAUAUAUAUUUAUAUAUAUAUAUGAAAAAAACAGUUCCCUCUCACCUCAUAAGAAAAAAAUAAACAAUGGACCAUUAUAAAUAAGAACAAAAUAAAAUCGAAAAAAAAUAAAAAUAAAAUAAAUAAAUAAAUAAAUAAAUAAGUUUUUACAUACAUAGAAAACGAGUUAUAAAUAUUUUUAACAUAUAUAUAUAUAUAUAUAUAAAUAUAAAUAAAACGCUUGGAAAAAAAAAGAGAAAGUGUUUUUACAAAGAAAACAAAUUAUAAUUUCUUUUUCAUAUAUAUAUAUAUAUAUAUCAACAUAAAUCUCUUGUAAACAAAAAUAUAAUGAACAGCAUUUGAAUAUUUCUCAUAUAUAUAUGUAUAUGCUAUUAUAUAAUUUAAUUGCUGUAUUUGUAAUGCUUGUACAGUUAUUUAUAUUUUGUAUUGUAUACAUACAUAAAUUAUACUUAUAGAUAAAAAAUUCAAAAGUAAAGUGCGUCAUUCGUUACAGCAAAUAGUUAAUUUUUUUAUAAUUAUACAUGUAAAAACAUAACAAAUGCCAAUUAUAGAUAGAUAUAUAUAUAUAUAUAUAUAUAUAUAUUAUUUAUUUAUAAACUAUUUACUUUUAAACAACUAUACAUGUAGUUCAAGUAAUACAUUUUUUAUUAUUAAUAAUAUACAUUUAAAAAGAUUAUUUAUACAAUAUAAACAAGCGCAUGUAUAAUGUAUAUAUUAUCCCCUUUUUUUUUUAUUUAAAACAAUAACAUAAAUAACAUAAAUAACAUAAAUAACAAAAAAACCAAAAAAAAGAAAAAAAAAAACAAAAAAAAAAAAAAAAAAGUAAAAAAUGGCACUCUUCAAACCUAUAACAUUAACAAGGAAUAAAAAUAAAAUAUGUGACAUCGACCAGAGUUUGAUUAAGUUCAAUAUUAUGACACAAGGAUAUGAAGAAGGAUGUGUUAUAAAGUCUAUAAGUAUAUGUAAGGAAUAUGUCGCUUUAAGUAAAAACGCAUUGGUAAUAGUAGCUUGUGUAAAAAGCGGUAUGAAAAGAAAACAACAGUGCAAGGAGAAUGUGAGUAAAUUAAAAUUCCGAGAUAGUAAUAUGUUAGGAAUUGGUAUGGAAAAUGGUGAUAUCGAUUUAUUAGGUGUUGGCCUUUUUGAUAUUAUAAAAAAAUUAAAAGGUCAUAAAUCAUCUAUUACAGAUUUAGUCUUUGACACAGAUUUUAGUAAAUUAUAUUCGUGUUCAAGAGAUUUCACCAUAAAAAUAUGGAAUAUAUGGGAAGGUUUAUGUAAAAACACGUUGGAUUAUCAUGUUGAUAAUGUAACAAGUAUUUGUUUAUUUAAUAAUAAUAAUAAUAAUAAUUAUUUAAUAAGUUCUGGUUAUGAUGGUUAUAUUUAUUUUUAUGACAACAAGUUAGAAAAACAAACAAAAAAAAUUAGAAAUGGACGAACCUAUAGAAUGUUUCACAAUUUUUAAUAAUACCUACAUAGUUCUCGCAAUAAAAAAACCGAAUUAAAAUAUAUACA
rnacentral:lncRNA from 1 species